rnacentral:rRNA from 1 species
UGGGGAAUUUUGCACAAUGGGGGAAACCCUGAUGCAGCGACGCCGCGUGAUUUAGAAGGCCUUCGGGUUGUAAAAAUCUUUUCUAUGGGAAGAAAAUGACAGUACCAUAGGAAAAAGCCCCGGCUAACUACGUGCCAGCAGCCGCGGUAAUACGUAGGGGGCUAGCGUUGUCCGGAAUCACUGGGCGUAAAGGGUUCGCAGGCGGAAAUGCAAGUCAGGUGUAAAAGGCAGUAGCUUAACUACUGUAAGCAUUUGAAACUGCAUAUCUUGAGAAGAGUAGAGGUAAGUGGAAUUUUUAGUGUAGCGGUGAAAUGCGUAGAUAUUAAAAAGAAUACCGGUGGCGAAGGCGACUUACUGGGCUCAUUCUGACGCUGAGGAACGAAAGCGUGGGUAGCAAACAGG